rnacentral:rRNA from 1 species
UACGUAGGGUGCGAGCGUUGUCCGGAAUUACUGGGCGUAAAGAGCUCGUAGGUGGUUUGUCGCGUUGUUCGUGAAAACUCACAACUCAAUUGUGGGCGUGCGGGCGAUACGGGCAGACUGGAGUACUGCAGGGGAGACUGGAAUUCCUGGUGUAGCGGUGGAAUGCGCAGAUAUCAGGAGGAACACCGGUGGCGAAGGCGGUUCUCUGGGCCUGUACUGACGCUGAGGAACGAAAGCGUGGGGAGCGAACAGG